rnacentral:rRNA from 1 species
GACGAACGCUGGCGGCGUGCUUAGCACAUGCAAGUCGAACGGAAAGGCCCUGCUUUUGUGGGGUGCUCGAGUGGCGAACGGGUGAGUAACACGUGAGUAACCUGCCCUUGACUUUGGGAUAACUUCAGGAAACUGGGGCUAAUACCGGAUAGGGGCUCCUGCUGCAUGGUGGGGGUUGGAAAGUUUCGGCGGUUGGGGAUGGACUCGCGGCUUAUCAGCUUGUUGGUGGGGUAGUGGCUUACCAAGGCUUUGACGGGUAGCCGGCCUGAGAGGGUGACCGGCCACAUUGGGACUGAGAUACAGCCCAGACUCCUACGGGAGGCAGCAGUGGGGAAUAUUGCACAAUGGGCGGAAGCCUGAUGCAGCAACGCCGCGUGCGGGAUGACGGCCUUCGGGUUGUAAACCGCUUUCGCCUGUGACGAAGCGUGAGUGACGGUAAUGGGUAAAGAAGCACCGGCUAACUACGUG